GUCGUGUGUUAACUUGUGGGCGUGCGUGAGUUUCGGCCUCGCUGUUUGCAUGUUUGUGCGCUUUGGGUGUACUUUUUCGUAUGGUUGGCCAACAUCAGUUUCGAUUACUAUAAAAUGACUGGCGGAAUGUAGCUUCGAUUUCGGUUGAAGUGUUAUAGCCUCUGGUAGAUGUGGUGAUUGGGACUGAGGAUUGCAACGAAUAUCCUUUGGGCUAUCCGUCUGGCCUCUGAAAGUUGCUUGGGUGCUGAAAGCUUGCUUAUGGUUAUCUAAGUUAACGGUCAAUAGGUUAGAACGUGAUUACAUUCGUUAAGGAUGUUGACGUAAA
rnacentral:rRNA from 1 species